CCCCUCUUAGGAUGGCACCUGCAGAGUUUCCAGUCCUCUACCAGUCUCCGCUACAGGAGGGAGAGUCAAGCAGACACAUACUCAUUCCAUUCCUAGCUUGGGCAGUGGCUAGCGAGUGGAAGAUAUCUGCUACAAGU